UACGAAGGGGGCUAGCGUUGUUCGGAAUCACUGGGCGUAAAGGGCGCGUAGGCGGCUUUGUAAGUCGGGGGUGAAAGCCUGUGGCUCAACCACAGAAUUGCCUUCGAUACUGCAUGGCUUGAGACCGGAAGAGGUAAGUGGAACUGCGAGUGUAGAGGUGAAAUUCGUAGAUAUUCGCAAGAACACCGGUGGCGAAGGCGGGUCUCUGGGCCGAUACUGACGCUGAGGCACGAAAGCGUGGGGAGCAAACAGG
rnacentral:rRNA from 1 species